rnacentral:lncRNA from 1 species
UCCACAAGGGGCAAAAAUCCUUGUCGUGGCUAAAGUUUCCCUAGCUGUUGGAGGAAGGCGGCUCACUGGGACUCAAACAGUUCCACUUCCUUUGUUAGGAGGCUGAGUACCAGGGCCAAGCUGGGAAAUUAAAGAUUAAGUUCAUUAAGGUAAGAUAAUUGUGCGGAGGCAUUGUUGUUGAUACAGGUGGAGUGAUAGGGGCUGGGGUAGGAAGCCCAUUUACAUGUAGGGACGACCCAUUAAACAGGCUUAACAGACGUGCGAGGCAAAUAUGUUUAUUAUUUGCCUGAUGGCUGACCUAUGCUUUCACUGUUGCAUUAGUCAACGGCCCCCCCCCCCAAAGGAGGGCCAGGACUCCCUGCCGGGAACCAGGUGGAAGUGAAGGCAAAACAGUCUCCAGCGAGCAAAGAUACAGUCCUGUGGGCCCUUGGGGAAGACUGGCCUUUCUCCUCCCUCCAAUGUCCUGUUACCCUGCUACCCGAGAGGACCAACGCCCCUCCAGCUAAGGAGAGGAGACAGUGCUCUCCCACCUGAGGGAUGUCUUUAAAUCUUUCUGGAUGCUGACAGGAAACAUUUGUGCAGAAGCGCCCUUUGGAUGUCCUUCUUAAAGAAGACCUCACGCUCUCUUUUCUCCCUCUGAUAGGAGGGAGAUACCCUGAUUUUCCAUCAGGGAGCUUCUCAAACGCUUCCUUCCCCAGUGUUACUGACCUCCUCAGAAUCUGACUUCGGGAAUCUGGGCUGCCUACCUUCCAUUUCAUUCUUCUAAGAAAAACAAACCAAACAUCAUUCCCUGUCCCUGCCCUAUCUGUCCCACACGCACAGAUCCACCCUGCUUUGUUAUUGAAAACUGGAGUUUGGCUUUGUUGGGAAGAGCUCCACCCUGCCCCCUUCCCAACUUGGAGACCUAUAAAUACUGAGAACUUUAGAAAAACAAACAAAAGUAUGGGAUGGAUGGUGGAAUUUUGGGGAGCAUGGGGGUCCGUCCUUGCGAUCUGUCCGAAGGGAGGGAGAAGGUGGAGAGAGAGGUGCCCAGACUGUGCCCAAGUGGCUGAGAAUGUGCCCGGUGCAGUGUUCAAGAAAAUUAUUUCUUCACAAGCACCCUUAUUUUUGCUGUGUCUUGGGCAGGAGGAGAAAGAUCUGCAUUUACUUUUGUUGGGGUCACUAGUUCAUCAUCUCUGGUUCCUGCACUUAUUUUUUCUAUUUCUGGUGAGGAACUGAGAAACACAGUUAAGGGUUGGAGAUGUCUUUGAUAAUAGAUAUCCCGAAAGAAAUUCACUUGUUUAUUUGCGUGAUAGGGUCACCUCUUACACAAAAACUCACCUGCCGUCCUCUCUUUCCCCUCCUGCCCUCCCUCCAGUCCCCCAGGGAGGAAAAUGAACAGUGGCAUAAUGAUUUUGGUAAAUAGAAUUCUUUUUAAAGCCAUCUGAUCACGGGGAGACAUUCUGAGAAGACCCUAGGGUUUAGUCAGUGCUGAUGUGUAAAAAAAAAAA